rnacentral:rRNA from 1 species
GUCUCCUACGGGAGGCGCAGCAGUAGGGAAUCUUCCACAAUGGGCGAAAGCCUGAUGGAGCAACGCCGCGUGGGUGAAGAAGGUCUUCGGAUCAUAAAACCCUGUUGUUAGAGAAGAAAGUGCGUGAGAGUAACUGUUCGCGUUUCGACGGUAUCUAACCAGAAAGCCACGGCUAACUACGUGCCAGCAGCCGCGGUAAUACGUAGGUGGCAAGCGUUAUCCGGAUUUAUUGGGCGUAAAGGGAACGCAGGCGGUCUUUUAAGUCCGAUGUGAAAGCCUUCGGCUUAACCGGAGUAGUGCAUUGG